rnacentral:rRNA from 1 species
UACAGAGGUCUCGAGCGUUAGGCGGAAUCACUGGGCUUAAAGCGUGUGUAGGUGGAUCGUUAAGUACCUUGUGAAAUCCCACGGCUUAACCGUGGAACUGCUUGGUAUACUGGCGGUCUUGAGCCAGCUAGGGGCUACCGGAACAAAUGGUGGAGCGGUGAAAUGCGUAGAUAUCAUUUGGAACGCCAAUGGUGAAAACAGGUAGCUGGGGCUGUGCUGACGCUGAGACACGAAAGCCAGGGGAGCGAACGGG